rnacentral:snRNA from 1 species
GGGUGCGAGGGGGAUCUGGCUGCGACAUCUGUCACCCCAUCGAGCACCAGGGUUGACUGGGCUGAUCUGGCUGUCUGGGCGGGUGUCCCCUCCUCCCUCACCGCUCCACAGGCGUCCCUCCCGAAACCGCAAGCUGGGUGCUUCAUCAAAGACAGAUGAAGGAUUCCUCUGCUC